GCCUGGGUGGCCCAGUCGGUAGGGCGACUGGCUUCGGCUCAGAUCACAAUCUCACAGUUUGUGGGUUUGAGCCCUGCGACAGGCU
rnacentral:tRNA from 1 species